AUUGAACGCUGGCGGCAGGCUUAACACAUGCAAGUCGAACGAGUGGCGGACGGGUGAGUAAUGCUUGGGAAUCUAGCUUAUGGAGGGGGAUAACUACGGGAAACUGUAGCUAAUACCGCGUACCAUAGGAUGAGCCCAAGUGGGUUUAGGUAGUUGGUGAGGUAAAGGCUCACCAAGCCGACGAUCUCUAGCUGGUCUGAGAGGAUGACCGGCCACACUGGGACUGAGACACGGCCCAGACUCCUACGGGAGGCAGCAGUGGGGAAUAUUGCGCAAUGGGGGAAACCUGACGCAGCCAUGCCGCGUGAAUGAAGAAGGCCUUCGGGUUGUAAAGUUCUUUCGGUAGCGAGGCGUUAACUACAGAGAAAGCACCGGCUAACUCCGUGCCAGCCGCCGCGGUAAUUC
rnacentral:rRNA from 1 species